CGCCGGGCGUCGGUUGGGGCGCGGGCGCAGCGCUGGGCGCGUUUGUUGCUCUCUGCCUCACCGCCCUGCCCGCGGUGGCCGUUGCCUUCAGGUGUGUGCUGGCUGCGGCAUGCAGGCACGGGUCGGUGCCAAGGCAGGACCAAGUAUGCAGCAGUGCCCUGUUAGGUUCUUUAUCCAGUGUUACAGUGUGCACACAAAUGGAUGCACAGAGCAGACCAGUGGCUUUCCUGGGUUGGAGCUGGAAUGGCGGCUGUGGCAGAGCUGUGCAGGGCGAUGCCUUCAUCCUGAGCUCCUGCUGCUCCAGCCCUGUCAUUAGGCAGCCCAGCAUCCCCAGCUGCAUCGAUUCCUCCUGGCUUACCUUUGCCCUGUCCCAUUCUGCACCAUUAUCACUUAUUACCCGGCUUCAUUUGCACAUUCUUGCACAGACAGCUCAUCUGUUGGUCGUGGCUUCCUCAGGGCCUGCUGUGGCUGCUGUUUAAGCAGGGCCUUGUUAUGAUUACACACCUUCAUUAGGAUGCUAGUGAGGUCUGUAGGUCCUAGCGCUUCUUGUUCCAUAAUGGAGCUAGAACUUGAAAGCAGCUCCUAAUUGUGCUCCCCAAGCCCUGUCAGUCGCAAAAUGUUGCCUUGAUGUGGGGGUGGACUGAGGCGAAAGCAGCAGAUGACCUCAAUUCUCUAUACACAAACAGAGCAUGCCGGGCUGGCACUCUGUGUACAGUUCAGGCACUCAUGUAACACACAGCCACAUUAUGACUUGUAUCUGUAUCAGGAUCUAUGUUCAGAUAACAAUGACCCAACUGUUUCUGAGAUGGGGUCAGGUGAGGAGAAAUGCUGGAAAGAGCCCAGGAGCAUUUGGAGCAGCCCCAGAGGCACCUGGACAACCCUGGAGAGCCUGGGAAGAGCCUCAGAGCAUCUGGAGGAACCUGAGAGCUGCCUGGGCAGCCUCCAGAGGCCCUGGGAGAGCCCUGUGCAGAGCACAGAGGUGCCCAGACAGGACUAGGAAGAUGCACAUCCUGCUCGUCCUCCACGUUCUGAGCCUGAAGGCUUGUCUGAAGCCCUCCUCUUCCUUCUUCAGAUGGUUUGAGCAAAGAACACAUCAAAGAUGUUGACGUGUCUCUCAUCAACUAAAUACCAGCAGCCAAGUUAUCUAAAGUCAUUUUCUGCCUCCCUGCCACUGGGAAGAAAGUGCCUUCAGGGGUUCUCAUUGUGUACCCCAGAAGUACACAGCGUAACAACUCCUGAGUAAACAGAGGCAAAGUCAGCAUCCCUCAUCCUCUCCUCUGAAACAGUUUGUAUUCACAAUAAAACCCCUGCUUUGAUCUCUU